UAGGGCCCAACUGACCCACCGCUUGAGAAACUUAGUGAGAAGGAGGAAGUUUCCAUCCAAGUCCCAGUACUAAUUUCCAAACCCGCAGAAACGUAAGGAACUGGGAAGCGUGUGACACAUUUCCGAGCAUUUGCUCUAGAAGCCCAUGUUUUUAGUUUAAGUCUCUUUAGGCCCUAAAUCAAGCAGAAAAAGCCAACACCUUCUAGAUUGAAAAAGACACAAACUAUUUCUUCACAUUUAAAAAUAACCCGUCAUUGUUUUCUUAUGCCCAUCUAUAUCUGCUGCUGAAGUGUUUGUAGAAGCUGUACAGUUUUUUGCUGUUAGAAAAGAAGAGAUAUGGGGCUGCCCAAGUUUUAUCUCCUACCUUUGUUGCUUCUGAUUGUUGUUUUUGCAUCAAAGAAAUCUUCAGCUGUUGAAGCAAGGCCACUUUCCAUCUUGCCACAACAAGGAUAUGCAAACGUUUUUUCAACACUUGGAAUUGCUUGCGAGUGCUGUGAUGGAGCUGGAGGUGAAUGCACAAGUACAUGGACUGAGCCUUGCACUAGCCUCAAAUGUCUUCCUUGGAAACAUUAUUAACUUGUUCUUCUUCUCUUUCCAGUUGUAUUUUCUACUACUUCUCUUGCUUUUCUCUCUGUUUACAGUAGCAUCCACAGAUUAUUAGCGUACGGACAUUCGAAUGAGAGAAUAAAUAUAUAUAUAUAUAUAUACUAGUGGAAUUAUAUUAGAGUUUCUUC